GAUGAACGUUGGCGGUGUGCCUAAUACAUGCAAGUCGAACGGUGAUCUUAUGGGAGCUUGCUUCCAUUUGAUUAUAGUGGCGAACGGGUGAGUAACGCGUUGGUGAUCUGCCUCGAAGUGUGGAAUAACGUUCCGAAAGGGACGCUAAUACCGCAUGUGCUCAAGGUUUUUAGAAAGCUUUGAGUAAAGGAUUUAUUCGCUUCGAGAGGAGCCUGCGUCCCAUCAGCUAGUUGGUAAGGUAACGGCUUACCAAGGCUAUGACGGGUAGGGGACCUGAGAGGGUGGCCCCCCACAAUGGAACUGAAACACGGUCCAUACACCUACGGGUGGCAGCAGUAGGGAAUAUUAGAAAUGGGCGAAAGCCUGAUCUAGCGACACCGCGUGUGCGAUGAAGGCCUUCGGGUUGUAAAGCACUUUUUGGAAGGAAUAGGAAGGAAGGUACUUCCAGAAUAAGUCUCGGCUAACUACGUGCCAGCCGCCGCAGUAAGAC
rnacentral:rRNA from 1 species